UCGUCCGGCAUCCGUCGUCCAGCAUCUGUCGUCUGUUGUCCGGCAUCUGUCGUCUGUCAUCUGGCAUCUGUCGUCUGUCGUCCGUAAAAUUUAACAAAAAUUGCCCCCAUUUUCCUCUAAGUUGUGAGUUCCAGAACGGGCCAUACAAGGCAUGUUAUUUUGAAGGUCCAUAUCGAGUGCACCUCAGUGUAACAGUUUUAUUUUAUUUUGAAUAAUUA
rnacentral:lncRNA from 1 species